rnacentral:tRNA from 1 species
AGCAGCAUGGCGCAGAAGGAAGCGCGUUGGGCUCAUAACCCAAAGGUCGCUCGAUCGAAACGAGCUGCUGCUA